rnacentral:rRNA from 1 species
UUCCUGGUGGCGAGCGGCGGACGGGUGAGUAAUGCAUAGAAAUCUGCCCGGUAGUGGGGGAUAACUUGGGGAAACCCAGGCUAAUACCGCAUACGUCCUACGGGAGAAAGCAGGGGAUCUUCGGACCUUGCGCUAUCGGAUGAGUCUAUGUCGGAUUAGCUUGUUGGUGAGGUAAUGGCUCACCAAGGCGACGAUCCGUAGCUGGUCUGAGAGGAUGAUCAGCCACAUCGGGACUGAGACACGGCCCGAACUCCUACGGGAGGCAGCAGUGGGGAAUAUUGGACAAUGGGCGAAAGCCUGAUCCAGCCAUGCCGCGUGUGUGAAGAAGGCCUUCGGGUUGUAAAGCACUUUCAGUGGGGAAGAAAGCCUUGGGGCUAAUACCCUCGAGGAAGGACAUCACCCACAGAAGAAGCACCGGCUAACUCCGUGCCAGCAGCCGCGGUAAUACGGAGGGUGCGAGCGUUAAUCGGAAUUACUGGGCGUAAAGCGCGCGUAGGCGGCCUGAUAAGCCGGUUGUGAAAGCCCCGGGCUCAACCUGGGAACGGCAUCCGGAACUGUCAGGCUAGAGUGCAGGAGAGGAAGGUAGAAUUCCCGGUGUAGCGGUGAAAUGCGUAGAGAUCGGGAGGAAUACCAGUGGCGAAGGCGGCCUUCUGGACUGACACUGACGCUGAGGUGCGAAAGCGUGGGUAGCAAACAGGAUUAGAUACCCUGGUAGUCCACGCCGUAAACGAUGUCGACUAGCCGUUGGGCUCCUUGAGAGCUUUGUGGCGCAGUUAACGCGAUAAGUCGACCGCCUGGGG